rnacentral:rRNA from 1 species
UAACCUGCCCAUGUGUCCGGGAUAACUGCUGGAAACGGUAGCUAAAACCGGAUAGGUAUACAGAGCGCAUGCUCAGUAUAUUAAAGCGCCCAUCAAGGCGUGAACAUGGAUGGACCUGCGGCGCAUUAGCUAGUUGGUGAGGUAACGGCUCAUCAAGGCGAUGAUGCGUAGCCGGCCUGAGAGGGUAAACGGCCACAUCGGGACUGAGACACGGCCCAA